rnacentral:rRNA from 1 species
GUAGUCUGCAACCCGACUACAUGAAGCUGGAAUCGCUAGUAAUCGCGAAUCAGGAUGUCGCGGUGAAUACGUUCCCGGGUCUUGUACACACCGCCCGUCACACCAUGGGAGUCGGAAAUGCCCGAAGUCAGUGACCCAACCGUAAGGAGGGAGCUGCCGAAGGUGGAGCCGGUAACUGGGGUGAAGUCGUAACAAGGUAAC